AUUGAACGCUGGCGGCAGGCCUAACACAUGCAAGUCGAGCGAGCGGCGGACGGGUGAGUAAUGUCUGGGAAACUGCCUGAUGGGGGGGGGUAACUACUGGAAAAGGUAGCUAAUACCGCAUACCAUCAGAUGUGCUCAGAUGGGAUUAGCUGGUAGGUGAGGUAAUGGCUCACCUAGGCGACGAUCCCUAGCUGGUCUGAGAGGAUGACCAGCCACACUGGAACGGAGACACGGUCCAGACUCCUACGGGAGGCAGCAGUGGGGAAUAUUGCACAAUGGGCGAAAGCCUGACGCAGCCAUGCCGCGUGAGUGAAGAAGGCCUUCGGGUUGUAAAGCACUUUCAGCGGGGAGGCGGUACCCGCAGAAGAAGCACCGGCUAACUCCGUGCCAGCAGCCGCGGUAAUUC
rnacentral:rRNA from 1 species